rnacentral:rRNA from 1 species
UGUGUAGGCGGUUGCUUAAGUUUGGCGUGAAAUCUCCCGGCUCAACUGGGAGGGUGCGCCGAAUACUGAGUGACUCGAGUGCGGGAGAGGAGAGUGGAAUUCCUGGUGUAGCGGUGAAAUGCGUAGAUAUCAGGAGGAACACCGGUGGUGUAGACGGCUCUCUGGACCGUAACUGACGCUGAGACACGAAAGCGUGGGUAGCAAACAGGAUUAGAUACCCUGGUAGUCCACGCCCUAAACGAUGCAUAUUUGGUGUCGGGCCGUUCAGUCGGUCCGUGCCGGAGCUAACGCGUUAAAUAUGCCGCCUGGGGAGUACAGUCGCAAGGCUGAA